AUGAGACACUGGGAUGCGUUCUUGGGGUUUCUGUGGGUCCAGGUUUGCUGGGUGAGAGGGAUGCAAGUGGAGCAGAGUCCUCCAUCCUUGAGUCUCCCGGAGGGAAACAGCUCCACGUUUAGAUGCAACUUUUCUAGCUCUGUGCAAGGAGUGCAGUGGUUCCGACAGAACCCCGGGGGCGGCCUGGUCACCCUGUUUUACACAGCUUCAGGGACUCCGAAGAAGGAGGGAAGGUUAACCACCACACUGAACUUUAAGGAGUACAGCACCCUGCACAUCGAGGGCUUCCAGCUGGAGGACUCAGCCACCUACCUGUGUGCGGUGCAGGCACAGUGCUCCGGGGUGAUGUGCAGCCUGUACCCAAACUGCAGCUGGGCCCCAGCCCACCCCUUCUUGGGAGUGGGGGCAAGUCUGUGUCUCUGCAAGGCUCCAAAGAAAAGGACAGUAAAUCUUGUGGAUAAAUUAUUAUAA